GGCACGUUCGUGUCCGGGCGAUUCGUCGGCGAAGGCGAAUGCGUGGUGCUGCGCGACGGCGAUCUGAUCCAGUUCGGCAGCGCCGGCUCGGUUCGCUGGCGCGCGCGCGAACUGGGCGAGCCCGUCGACAUGCUCUGGCCGCUGCGCGCGCCCGCGCGGCCGAUCGCGCUCGAUCGCACGCACGCGCUGCCGGGCGCCGCGUUCACCGUCAGCCGCUCCGCGCAGGGCGACUGGCUCUGCAACGACACGACGCCCGCGCGCGUGCUGCAUGACGGCGACGCGGUGAUCUGCGGCGAAUUCGCGUGGCAGCUGGUGCUCGCGCAUCGCGGCGUGACGGCCGCGCUGCCGCGCGCGACGCAGGUCGCGACGCUGCCGCAGCGCAUCGAUUUCACGGUGAGCCGCGACGAGGAGCACGUGACGGCGACGCUGCACACGCGCGGCGGCGCGGUCGAUCUCGGCGCGCGCGCGCAUCACUACUGCCUCGUGACGCUCGCGCGCGCGCGCUUCGCCGAUGCGCAGGCGGGCUACGACACGGCGUCGCGCGGCUGGAUCGAGCUCGACGUGCUCGCGCGGAUGCUCGGCCUCGACGAAUCGCACAUCAAUGUGCAGAUCCACCGCGCCCGCACGCAGUUCCUGCCGCUGCUGUCGCCCGGCUCCGCCGAACUCGUCGAGCGCCGCCGCGGCGGGGUGCGCUUCGGCGCGCUCGCAUUUCGCGUCGUGCGCGGCGAUCGGCUCGAAUGCCAGUCGGCCGACGCCGACGCUUCAGCGCCGCUGCCCGAUCCGCUCGCGCGCGGCGCGGCGACGUUCGUCUCGCCCGCCGCGCUCGGCUGAGCGGCGCUUCAUGUCCGCUUCCGUUCUGGCCGAACGCGUGCGCGCCGGCAAUCGCCGUGCGCCGCGCGCGCUCGCGCCGCCGCUGCCCGGCGACGGCGACGAACUGCAAGGCGAGCAUCGCUACCGGCUCGGCGCCGUGCUCGGCGAAGGCGGCGCGGGCCGCGUGCACGAGGCGAUCCGGCUCGACACGUCGGCGCGCGUCGCGAUCAAGCUGCUGCGCGAGGAUGCGCCGCGCGGCGCGCGCGAGCGCGCCCGGCUGCGCGCGCGCUUUCGCCGCGAGACGGCGCUGUGCGCACGGCUGUCGCAUCCGCACAUCGUCGCGCUGCUCGACAGCGGCGAGACGCCGGACGGCCUGCUGUUCGCGGUGUUCGAGCACGUCGCCGGGCGCACGCUGCGCGCGCUGCUCGCGGCCGACGGCGCGCUGGCCGCCGAGACGACGGGCGCGCUGAUGGCGCAGGUGCUCGACGGCCUCGCGCACGCGCAUGCGAACGGCGUCGUGCAUCGUGACCUGAAGCCGCAGAACGUGAUGGUGACGACGCGCGACGGCGAGCCGUGCGCGAAGAUCCUCGACUUCGGAAUCGGCGCGCUGCUGCCCGAUGCGCAUGCCGCCGACGAACUGACGCUCACCGCGACGACCGAGGUGCUCGGCUCGCCGCAGUACUGCGCGCCGGAGCAAUUGCGCGGCGAGCCGCCGACCGCGAAAAGCGAUUUCUACGCGUGGGGCCUGAUCGUCAUCGAAUGCCUGACCGGGCAUCCGGUGAUGCAGGGCGCGAGCCUCGCGGACGUGCUGUAUCAGCAUCUGAGCCCCGUCGACGUCGCGCUGCCGCCCGUGAUCGCCGCGCAUCCGCUCGGCGACGUGUUGCGCGAUGCGCUGAACAAGGAUCCGCGGCAGCGCGCGGAAUCCGCGCAGGCGCUCGCCAACCGGUUCCGCGCGAUCCACUUCCCGGCGCUCGUCGGCGGCCUGCGCUACGGCGCGCGUCACGGGCGGCGCGCGCUGGCGGAGCCGGGCGUCGCGGCCCGCGAGCCGGGCGGGACGAUCGCGCUCGACGCGCCCGUCGGGCGGCGGCAGGUGACGGCGCUCUGUUGCCGCGUGUCGGUCGUCUCGACGCUGGCGCGGCCGGCCGACGCGGCGGCCGACGACGAAGCGCUCGACGCAUUUCACGCGCACUGGCUCACGCGCUGCUCGGACAUCGCGGUGCGCUACGGCGGCCACGUCGCGGGCGCGCUCGGCGAUACGCUGCUGUUCUACUUCGGCUACCCCGAGGGGAUCGAUCGCCCCGCGCAGCGCGCGUGCCGCGCGGCGCUCGAGAUGACGCGGCACGCGGGGCAGCCGGCGGGCGCGCCGCGUUCGUCCGACGGCGACGCGCGUGCGUGCGCGCCCGCGUGGCGAAUCGACAUCGCGGGCGCGAUCCAUGUCGGCACGGCGUUCGCGACCGCGCGCGGCGCGUCGGGCGGCGUGCUCGCGAGCGCGGCGCUCGGCCUGCAGCGCAUCGCGCAGCCGGGCGGCAUUCUGUUGAGCGACGAAGCGGCGCGCGCGCUCGAGCGCCACGUCGACGCCGCGCCGACUGCGCUCACGUUCGCCGCGCCCGGCGCGGCGCCGCAGCCGGUGCGCGAGCUGCUCGGCGAGCGCUACGAGCGCGGGCCGUUCGAAUCGCUCGAACUCGGCGACGCGACGCCGAUCGUCGGGCGCGAUCGCGAGCAGGCGGCGCUCGCGCGCGCAUGGCGCGAUGUGGUGCGCGCGGCGGCGGGCGGGCGUCGCGCGCGGCGGCGCGCGACGCUCGUCGUCGGCGAGCCGGGCAUCGGCAAAUCGCGGCUCGUGCAUGCGCUGCGCGAGCUGGUGCGCGCGCAGCGCGGCGCGUGUGCGGCAUGCGUGUGCCUGCCCGAGCAGACGAAUCACGCGCUUUUUCCGAUCCUGCGUUUCGUGCGCGCGCACUGGCAGCUCGAUGUGGGCGAUCCGCACGCGCUCGACCGGAUGCUCGAAGCGUUCGACGGCGAUCGCGCAUCCGCGCGCGCGACGCUUGCCGCGUGGCUCGGCCUGCCGGGCGGCGCGGAUACGCUGCGCUGGUCGGGCGCGCGGCAGCAGCAGGCGCUUUUCGACGUGCUGUGCCAACUGCUCGGCUCGCUCGGCGGCGGCGGUCCCGUGCUGCUGAUCGUCGACGACGUGCAAUGGUGCG
rnacentral:rRNA from 1 species